rnacentral:misc_RNA from 1 species
GGGUUACCGGUCACAAUAUUGAUGGAUACUAUGGUAGAAGUGAAAAUGGACAAAUUGAAAAGCAAAAGGGUAGGGAUUAGAGUAACGUGUGAAGGAAUUCAUGGAUCGACACCAAAGGGUAAAGCUCCAGCAGUGGCAUCAACAAAUAAUGCCAAGUGUAAGGUUGAUCUAAGAAUCAAGAUCUUGAAAUGGACUUUCUAAUUUCAUCUCAAUUUGGUUUGACUCUCUC